rnacentral:lncRNA from 1 species
ACACACACAAGUACCAACAAGCACUCAAAGAGAAACAAGAAGCAUGCAGAAGAGCAAACUCUUCCAAAAAGCCAUAGGCCUAAGCACAUCAUAAAAGCAAUGGAUAUCAAACGAACCCCUGUAAAGAUUAUAGAAUCGAGCAUUCAAAAACCUUAAGAUGUAAAAUCAUAUUUGCUGCAUACUUUGCAAAACUGUAGCUCCACUUAGAACAACACUUGACAAAUCAACGUUCACUACCACAAUCUGAUACCACGGAACCAAAAUUCAAGGACAGUCCAACACAAGAAGAUGUGUAUCAAGAACAAACAGAAGCCACGAUCCAUGCAACGCAACUUGACAAUUCCAACGACAAUAACUCCGUUUUUCACAUGUACAUAAUGCAGGAGAUAUCAAACACCUUCAAUAUCAUCAGAUGGGGUACACAGGUAUUCAGAAGUGAACGACAGUUUUACAAGAUCCAACAUAUUACCAAAGGCUCUUAACCCAAACCAUGACGCAAAAUUCAGUAUUUGAUAUGGCAACAUGAUUGGACCAUAACUUCAAAUAGCAGAAGCUCAGGCAAAAAACAAAAAGCCAAAAUACCAAAGUGAAGCACAGCUGGCAAUCCCUGCAAACCAAAUUCACCAAACAAUAACUAGCCAUCCAUCAAUAACUCCAACAGCCAUGUAAUCACUGCCAUUUAAUAGGAAGACCAAGCCAGACUCGGCCAUAAACUGAGCAGCCAGCAACACUUUCAAUGGGUCAAUUGCCAUCCACUGGUUCCUAAAACACAAUGAGCAUAAGCAACAGAGACACGGGUCAGGAGAGUUGAGGGGAAGGUCAGGAGAGUAUAGCUUCAUCCAAGUUCAUCAGCCGAUAAAUAUUGAUGAAAAGAACAAGAGUUGACGCAAAGGACAUCAAUUAAAAGAAAAGGAACCCUUCUAGAAACACUUGCCAUCUGAUCUUAACAUAUAUCUCCAAAAGAGACUGAUCCAUCAAUUACCCUCAUAUAAAAUAACCCCAAGCAUCAAGGACUCGCUUCACCAUUCUCAUUCCUGUUUAAGUUUCAGGAUACCAACAAAAACCAACUUGCCCUUGUUACUCUGGUUAUAGAGAGCUUGAAAAGGAGCCAUUUGGAAAAACCUAUAACAGCACAAUGAAGGCAGAGCAGAUAGCUACACGGGAAAAAUUUGCAGAUCCAUAUCAUUAGUAAACAACAGUUGGAUCACUUGUAACUUUGCUUGUUCUAAUCAAAUUGCAAAAGCAGAGGAUCAGAUAACUUCAAGAGAGCAAAUCUGAAAUAAGAGCUUUAAGGAACAAACCUAAACCAAGAGCAUAUAGAAGAAAAAGCGGAGCAAUCAGAAGUCACACGUUACAAAGACCCAAAAGCAACAAAUUACCUUGUAAGUGUACGACCCCCCAAAAACACAGAAAAGCUUAGAAUCAAUGCAAGAAGUAGAAGCGGAAAUUUUUCAUUUAUAUUGCACAAACAAAAUUAAGGAAACAUGUUUACGAGUUGUAGGGAAAAUAAUUAAUUCACUGCCUUUCUCAAAGCAAGUCCAAAAUCUUUGAAAACAUCUGUAACGUGUAGAAUAAAAUGUUGAAAAAUAACCGCUGACAGGGGAAAAUAUAUAUGAGAGAAUAACUUGUCAAGACAAAAUAAUUGAAAACAAAUUUCCAUAAAAAAUGUGCAAACCUAGUAACAGAUGUUACCUCUAUUUGAGAAUUAGCAUAGAUGUAAAUCAAAUUAAAGACGCAUCUGGUGCUUUUCCAGUUGUGGAGAGCUGUUAUCAUUUGAUUACACUUGAAAACAAACCAUUGUAAUUCUUGAAGACACCCUGAGAAACAUACAAUCAAGAAGCAAAGAAAAACCACAAGAACAUGGCAAAGGAGACCUGCUGUAGUAAGACAAGCAUUCUAAUAACCUCCCAUUCAUCAUUUGAAGAGAUACUGGAGAAACACAUUGAAGCAAAGCUCAGCUUCUUAACUCUUUAUAAAAGUAAGAAUUCUAGAGGACAAAACAUUAUUAAACACAAGGAAACAACGCAAGUUGCUGAAACAUCAACACAUACCAAAAAACAGUCCACCUCAUCAGAUAACACAUACCAUAUAUCAAUCCACUACUAGCAUCACAGUUAGAGAAAAAGUCCAUGUAUUACUAAAUGAGACCCUGAAAAAACAUGCAACCAGAUCAUAAGUUAAAAAACACAACUUAAAUGCAAAAAAACACAUAUAAGCAUCACAAUUAGUGAUAUAGUAAAUAGCAUAUAUGGUAUUAUGCCACCCUGUUCGCUCUUUAACUUAAAUUCAUUUUAAUAGGAGAUUGUAUAAAGUCAAAUACUACUUAUUACUAUUACCACCACCACCACCACCACUAGUAGUAGUAGUAAUAAUAAUGACAGAAGAACAACAAACAUGAAGAGAGUGAAGAAAAGCUCUCAAAAGCAUCAAUCAUCUGAUCACAAAGAAUAUAAACACCUUCCAAUCCAUGCCCUAAAGAUGCUUGAUGAGAUCCCACAAAAACACACAAUUAAAACAGACACUAGCUCUAUUUUUUUAGAAUCAAAAGAAAAGUGGUGGUUUAAAAUGUAGAAACAAAGUAUGAAGACACCUGGCAUACAACAUCAUCUAGAAAACAACUGCACAAAAUAGAAUAAAAAUUAACGAGAAUAAAAGAUUUUGAUUUACUCAAGGAAGAAUGAGUCAAGAAAACAAGAGUACAGAAAAAUGUCCCCUAUUGGUAAACCUUCGACUUGGAGCUGGUAGAACCUGCCUUGAGCAGCAGACUGCACCGUGUUACAAUUCCUUGUUUAAUUUUAGUCCAUGCCCUAAGGGUUGAUGAGAUCCAAAAAAAACACAAUUAAAACAAGGACACUAGUUCUAUUAAACAGGUGGAAAUUUAAUAAGACAAAAAAAAAGAGUUAAAGGGGGACUUAAGUAGCGCAAAAUUCUGAAACAUCACAUAUAAAAGACUAGUGUUGCUCGAACUUCAUAUUCCUGGAAUGACACAAAAUAAGGUUUUUAGACCAAACACUCAAAAUGCAAUGCAGCAUAAAAAAAAUACAAGAAAAGGCAAAAAAAAAGGUAGGUAAAGAAUUAAACAAUCCUUGGUUGAUUCUAGUUUAAAUAUGUUCCUUCAUUUAUUUGGAGAGAUCCUAGAUGAGAAGGUACCACUAAAGGUCAGACACUAGCAGCAUGAAUAAACUUGGGACUGUAGCUUCAUUAAACAAAUGAAAGUGUUUAAAACAGCUAUGUAGAAACUUAGCUCACUGCAAAUUUCAGAGGCUCAAGUGCAGAAGACUUCAAUGUUCGAAGUCCUAACACAAAUUGGAACUGAAACUUAAGACUAAAUAUCAUAAGCAGGUGACAGGAAGGAGUAGGAAAUAUUAUCAAGCACUCCUCAGCUUAAGCCUGAUUAGCAUAUAUCCAUAAACACAACAUAAGGAUCCUGAAAAAAUACACAAGCAAGCAGCAGAACAGUCACCAGUCACAAUUUCACAGAAUCAAGGAUUAAAAUGUAAAAAUAAUCACAAAAUACUUGUACAUUGUUCUUGAAAACAUCCUUGCCUGCAAACCACUACACCGAGUUAAAAGAGGACUGCAAGCUCCAAAGCCUCAUGUAAGAAAAAAAAACUCUUCAUCAACUUCAUUCUCCAGAAAAGACAACUUAAAGCAAGACAAAAAUACCAGCACAUAAAGGAAAGGGUAGGUAAGUAAUGAAAUAAACACUCCCACAUAACUGUAGUCCACAUCCUCGAUAAAUUGGAGGGAUCCUAGAAAAAAGUUUGCAAGUAAAGGUCAGACUCUAGUUAUAUUUUAGUAAAUAUAAGAACUCGUUGACUAGAAUGAAAAGUUUAACAAAAACUCAUUUUGAUCUAAAAUGGAAAGGCAUCUUAAGAAACUUUCUAAUCUUGUUGAAAACACUAUCAGCCAGAAAGUAUCUGCACAAAAUAAAAGAAAAUUAAGCAAGCAGGAGAAUCGUCAGAAGUUGAAAUGGGGAAAUAAGAGAGAUAAAAAAACAGCACCAUUGGUGAAGUUGAUUUGAAGUUGGUAGAAAGUAACAAGCAGCCACUGCAAAAAGCACAAGCAAACUACACCAAAUUUCCUCUAAACAGUUGAUGAUAGAUUAGGGGAAGAAGACACGAUUAAUAUCAAAAGCUAGCUAUUUAACCCGUAUAAAUUAUAUAAGACUUGGAAAAGGAAUUGAAGAUGAAUUUAAUCUCCAGUGAAAGUUUCGAAAGCACCAUUUAAGCGCUCUCAUCGCAUGAAGUCCAUGACCCUAAAAACAAUACCUGUACAUUGUUCUUGAAAACAUCCUUGCUUACAAACCACUACACCAAGUUAAAAGAGGACUGCAAACCCCAAAGUGUCAUGUAAGAAGAAAAAAAAACUAAAAAAAAAAAACUCAUUAUCAACUUCAUUCUCCAGAAAAGACACAACUUAGAGCAAGACAAAAAUACCAGCACAUAAAGGAAAGGGUAGGUAAGUAAUGAAAUAAACACUCCCACAUAACUGUAGUCCACAUCCUCAAUAAAUUGGAGGGAUCCUAGAAAAAAGUUUGCAAGUAAAGGUCACUCUAGCUAUAUUUUAGUAAAUAUAAGAACUCGUUGACUAGAAUGAAAAGGCAAAGUUUAACAAAAACUCGUUUUGAUCUAAAAUGGAAAGGCAUCUUAAGAAACUUUCUAUGUAAUCUUGUUGAAAACACUAUCAGCCAGAAAGUAUCUGCACAAAAUAAAAGAAAAUUAAGCAAGCAGGAGAAUCGUCAGAAGUUGAAAUGGGGAAAUAAGAGAUAAAAAAACAGCACCAUUGGUGAAGUUGAUUUGAAGUUGGUAGAAACUAACAAGCAGCCACUGCAAAAAGCACAAGCAAACUACACCAAAUUUUCUCUAAACAGUUGAUGAUAGAUUAGGGGAGAAGACACGAUUAAUAUCAAAAGCUAGCUAUUUAACCCGUAUAAAUUAUAUAAGACUUGGAAAAGGAAUUGAAGAUGAAUUUAAUCUCUAGUGGAAGAUUCAAAAGCACCAUUUAAGCGCUCUCAUUGCAUGAAGUCCAUGACCCGAAAACAAUACUUGUACAUUGUUCUUGAAAACAUCCUUGCCUGCAAACCACUACACCGUGUUACAAAAGGACUGCAAGCUCCAAAGCCUCAUGUAAGAGAAAAAAAACUCUUCAUCAACUUCAUUCUCCAGAAAAGACAACUUAGAGAAAGACAAAAAUACCAGCACAUAAAGGAAAGGGUAGGUAAGUAAUGAAAUAAACACUCCCACAUAACUGUAGUCCACAUCCUCAAUAAAUUGGAGGGAUCCUAGAAAAAAGUUUGCAAGUAAAGGUCACUCUAGCUAUAUUUUAGUAAAUAUAAGAACUCGUUGACUAGAAUGAAAAGGCAAAGUUCAACAAAAACUCUUUUUGAUCUAAAAUGGAAAGGCAUCUUAAGAAGCUGUGUAAUCUUGUUGAAAACACUAUCAGCAAGAAUGUAUCUGCCCAAAAUAUAAGAAAAUUAAGCAAGCAGAAGAAUGGUCAGAAGUUGAAAUGGGGAAAUAAGAGAUAAAAAAAAACAGCACAAUUGGUGAAGUUGAUUUGAAGUUGGUAGAAAGUAACAAGCAGCCACUACUAACCCGUAUAAAUUAUAUAAGACUUGGAAAAGGAAUUAAAGAUGAAUUUAGUCACCAGUCUAAGUAUCAAAAGCACCAUAUAUGCCUCCAUGAACCUGAAAACCAAAAGCUUACAAAUAAGCACUCUAGUAUGUCCCAGUGCCACGCAGAAACAUACAAAAAGCAUUAAAUUGAAGGGUGAUCCUAGUGUUAUAUGUUCCUUUCAAACUAAACAAAUCCUGAAGAAAAUGCAAACAAAAAACGGACACAAAUUUAAACAAAUCCUGAAGAAAAUGCAAACAAAAAACGGACACAAAUUUAAACAAAUCCUGAAGAAAAUGCAAACAAAAAACGGACACAAAUUUAACGAUUGAAAUUAGAAAACAAAAGAAAAGGCACUUGAUCCAUCACUGUUGAAAACUGACAAUGAAAACAAUAGUAAAGAAAAAUAGAUCCUCUUGGUGGAGCUUAGCUUGGAGCUGGAAUUAUAAUUCCUUGUUUACUUUCAAACCAUUGCCUAAAUGCUUGAUGGCAUCCUAAAAGAACACAAAAUUGAAACUCAAAGCCUAGCUCCUUUUAAACAAGUAGAAAUUUUAUUAAAAGAUAGAAAAGCAGAGAUAAAGAAUCACUUAUAAGCACACCAAAUUUUGAAGCAUCACGUAUAAAAGAUGUUCAUAGUUCCAACUUCAUGCACCUGCAAAGACAGGAAGUUGGAAUCUUAAAUCAUACACUCAAAGUUCCAUAAAGGCAAAAAAAUAUAAGCAGAGAAAGGAAAAGAUGUAGGCAAUGAUUCCGGAUCUAAUUGUCAUCCAAAUAUGGUUCUUGAUACAUUUUGGAAGGAUCCUACAAAAACAUGCAACUGAAGGUAAAAUUCUACUUACACAAGUAAUCUGGAACUGUAGCUCUAUUAAACAGAUGGAAGCAUUUAAAACAGCAAAGCACAAACUUAGUUCACAGCAAUCAUGAGCAUCAAGUAAAAGCCUCAAUUGUUCACUGGAAUAUCACAAACAAAAACUUACUACAAUACAAUACAGCACGUACACCACUCCCUAACUUAAACUCGAGUUCAUAUGCAUAACACAAACAAAAACUUACUGCAACACAAUAAGCACAUAGUAUACUUGACACUCCCUGGUUAUAAACUCGAGUUCAUAUGCAUUCCUUGAAAACAAGAAGGAUACUGGAAAAACAAACAAAGAAGCAGACAACAUUAAUAUUUUGUAGAGUCAAGAAAAACGGUGGAUUGAAAUGUAAAAUAAUAUUACAAGACACUAGAUGCAUUUAUAAGAAAAACAAGGUAAAACAAGAUGGCUCCUACUGAUAAAGCUUAGAUUUGAAGCUGAUAGACCCAGUAACAAAAACCAUUGCCUUGAGCAGACAGCACCGAGCUCCCAUAUCCUAGAAUGCUUGCUACGAUCCUAAAAGAAUUAAAGAAGAAAUUGUAUAUACAAAUACAGAUUUAAAAUAGAAGAGCAAGUUGCAAAGAAUCACCAUUGUCCAACUAUAAGCUUCUAGAAAAAAAAAAUCAAUCAGAAUGUUAAGUCUGAACACUCAAAUUUAAUGCAAGGCAGAGGAAAGAGUACUCUGAAAUAAACACCUCCAAGCAAUCAUAAUCCACAUAUGUUCCUUGAUAACUUGGAGGGAUCCUGGAAAAACAUGCUAGCAAACAUCGGACACAAGUUAUAUUUUAGUAUAAAUUAAAACAUGUUGACUAGAAUGAAAAAUACAAAGUUAAGAAACACUAAUUUGAAAUAAAUGAAAGGGAAAAGUUAGGAAAUACUUGGUGCUAUCUUAUUCAAAAUAUUAUCUAGAAAAAAUCUGCACAAAAUAAAAAAAAUAAGCAAGCAUAACAACUGUUGACACAGUUGUCUGAAGUUGAAAUUGAUAUGGAGAGAAAUGAGUAAAGAAAACAGCCCCAUCGCAAGUAAAAUUUGAAGCGGCUCGGAGGUAACAAAAAAACCACUGCAAAAAUCUCAAGCAAAUCUUGGAAGAACACACAAUCAAACCCAAAUGUUACCUAUUUACCGAGUCUGGAUUAUACAGGACUCAGAGGAACUUAGUCUCCAACGCAAGUUUCAAAAGCUUCAUAGCAUAACUCUUAUUGAGCGAAGUCAAUGACCCUGAAAACCAAAGCUUAGAAAUAGCACUCUAGUAUGUCCUAGUGCCACAAAAAAUAUAACAAGCAUUGAAAUUGAAUGGUCUGCAAUGCAUUUAACACUCCAGCAUGAUCAUAGUCUUGUAUGUUCCUCAAAAACUGAAUGGAUCCAGGAAAAACAUGCAAAGAAAAAAGCCAAUACAAAUGUAUUGAUUGAAAUGAGAGAAGAAAGUUGAAGACACUUGAUCUAUCACUGUUGAAAAGUUAUUGGUUCAAUCAAUGUCAAGUUAGUUCCAGAACUUAGCCAGCCAAACAUUCAUUGCAGCAAACCACACUUUGUUUUCCAUUACAAAACAAAUGGUGAAAAAUAAGAAUGCUGACAGCAAUACCAAAAUAAAGUUAAGAGACACUGUGCCCUCCUGAAAGCAACAUGAUCAGUACAAAUGCAGAGUAUAACAGCAUUCAGCCAAGAAUAGCUUUAUUUAAUUCAGAACAGUGCAGUCUGAGGAGAAGGAAAGGAAAUCAAACCAGCUAGGCUAGAAUUUCUCACAUGGCAGCACUCCAAUCACUGUCAAGUAGGGUCCAAAAAGAAUCUGACUUGUAUGAGAAUAGCAGAAUAUUCUUUCCAAAAUAAAUCUGACAUAUAUGUUUUCUCAAAUUGACAGCUUGAUUAGCCUCGUACCAUUAAUUCCCUGUUAGUCAAGGAUUCUAUUGAAACAUCCAAUGCCACUGAGCGAAACUAGGACAAAAAAAUUGAUGAAAGCAUAUGAAAAACCGGGUAAGGAAGAUCAAGGACACAAAACUGUCAAAACUGUUGUACCAUUCUCUAUCACAAAAAACAUGGCAGAAACUUUUCCACACAAAUUCCAAUAAAUAUAUAUCCAAUUAAUUUCAAUCCUGGAAGUAGUAGAAUCAAAAGCAAAUUAAACAAAACAGCCACAGGAUCCAAACUCCAUUUAUAAGCAAAAUGAACUAAAAAUAUUCAUCAUCACUGUAAAAACUUCAUAGCUCAAGAAAACCUAAAUUUCCUUCAUCACUGAAACCCUGGCCUUCACAGUUUGCAGAAGAUUGCAGAGAGCUACUAGCACAAAGACCAAAAGAAAGAAACGAAGAAGAGAGACGAUGGCUGCCAAGAAUCUGAAACCAAAAGGGUAAAGAAAGACAUAGUUCCAUAAUUUUGCAGUUGCAUGUAAUGGAUUGUGAGGUUGAUGAUCUCUACUUAUAGAAUGAAGACUGGCCAGGGUUAAAUUUUUUUUAAUUAAUCUUAAGCCAGACACUCAUUGUUCGAACAUCAUGCUCUUGGAAAGACAUAAAUUAGAACCUUAAACCAGACACUCAAAAUCUUGAUGCAAGAUAAAAGGAAAAUACAAGCAAAGAAAGGAAAAGAUGUAGGUAAUGCUUCCUGGGUUGAUUGUAGUUCAAAAUGGUCUUUGAUAAAUUUAAAAGGAUCCUAGAAAAGUGUCCAACUAAGGUCAAGCACUAACAUAAAUGAUCUCAGCAAAAACUGAGGUCACUGCAAUUUUGUUGGCACGAGUAAAAGACUCAAAUGCUCAAAGUCCAUGCUACUGGAAUAACACACUCAAAACUUGAGACUAAAAUAUAAUAACCAGGUAGAGAAAAGGAGAAGUUAACAUAUUGAACACUCCCAGGGCUUAACUCUAGGUCAUGGUCUCCUUAACAAGCAUGAAUGGUCCUGGAAAAUAACACAAACGAGGAGAUAAAAGUUACUGUUUUGUAAAACCAAGAACAAAUUGUAGAUUAAAAUGUGAAAAAACAAUUACAAGACACUGGGUGCAUUGUUCUUGAAAACAUCAUCAUCUAGAAACAUCUGCACAAAAUGAAAUAAAAAUUAACAUAGAAAUAUCUAACAAAACGAGAGAAUAUAAAAAAUGGAUCCUAGUGGUAAAGCUUAGACUUGAAGCUGGUAGAACCAGUAUCAAGAAACCACCUCCUUUAAGCAGACUGCACCAAGUAAUAAUUCCUUGUUUACUUUGAGGGCAUUCCCUAUAAUGCUUGAUAGAUCCCUAAAAGAACACACAAUUACAAUUCACACCCAACCUCUAUUAAAGUAGUAGAACUGGGUAAUGUACAAAUAUAGAAACUGAGGAAG